AGAGGAGUGGGUGUGCUUUCCAAGCUGUGCGCCUUCAAUGCCUUCAUAUGCCCUGAGAUGACUGGUUUUGGCUGAGAUGAGCAUGAUGCUGGGAGCAGCUUGUUUCUUCCUCCUUAUUCUAGGAUUCACCUAAGGUAGAAAUUGAAAGAAUGGGAACAUUAUGGAGGUUAGUGUGAUAAAUCUGCCACCAAUACCCUUUCAACAAGAUUAGCAACUAAGAGUCAACACAAAAGGAGGAAGGAAGAACUGUGCAGUAUUUGGUUUUGAUUUGAAGAAGUAAUUAAAGAGAAGAUCUGCACAUACCGGGUGGAAUUCGCCUAAAAUGUGACUGACAGCAUCAAGACAUUCCCCUUUGUCUUCUUUAUCUGUGUGUGAGGAGACUUCUCCAACUGACUUUGUAUUUAGCAGAAAUAUUUGGGACAAAAGGUGUGUUGGGAGUAAAUAAAUGACCC
ensembl:lncRNA